rnacentral:rRNA from 1 species
GCGUUGUUCGGAAUUAUUGGGCGUAAAGCGCGUGUAGGCGGUUUCUUAAGUCUGAUGUGAAAGCCCUGGGCUCAACCUGGGAAGUGCAUUGGAAACUGGACAACUUGAGUACGGGAGAGGGUAGUGGAAUUCCGAGUGUAGGGGUGAAAUCCGUAGAUAUUCGGAGGAACACCGGUGGCGAAGGCGGCUACCUGGACCGAUACUGACGCUGAGACGCGAAAGCGUGGGGAGC